rnacentral:rRNA from 1 species
UACGGAGGAUCCGAGCGUUAUCCGGAUUUAUUGGGUUUAAAGGGAGCGUAGGUGGAUUGUUAAGUCAGUUGUGAAAGUUUGCGGCUCAACCGUAAAAUUGCAGUUGAAACUGGCAGUCUUGAGUACAGUAGAGGUGGGCGGAAUUCGUGGUGUAGCGGUGAAAUGCUUAGAUAUCACGAAGAACUCCGAUUGCGAAGGCAGCUCACUGGACUGCAACUGACAUUGAGGCUCGAAAGUGUGGGUAUCAAACAGG